UUCCAACGACAAGAACCGAACUCGGGCCUUCUGAGUGAGAGUGAAGUAUCCUAACCACUAGACCACAUUGGA